UACGGGGGGGGCAAGCGUUGUUCGGAAUUACUGGGCGUAAAGGGCUCGUAGGCGGCCAACUAAGUCAGACGUGAAAUCCCUCGGCUUAACCGGGGAACUGCGUCUGAUACUGGAUGGCUUGAAUCCGGGAGAGGGGUGCGGAAUUCCAGGUGUAGCGGUGAAAUGCGUAGAUAUCUGGAGGAACACCGGUGGCGAAGGCGGGAUCCUGGGCCAGUACUGACGCUGAGGAGCGAAAGCGUGGGGAGCAAACAGG
rnacentral:rRNA from 1 species